UACGUAGGGACCAAGCGUUGUUCGGAUUUACUGGGCGUAAAGGGCGCGUAGGCGGCGUGUUAAGUCACUUGUGAAAUCUCUAAGCUUAACUUAGAACGGUCAAGUGAUACUGAUGUGCUAGAGUGCAGAAGGGGCAACCGGAAUUCUUGGUGUAGCGGUGAAAUGCGUAGAUAUCAAGAGGAACACCUGAGGUGAAGACGGGUUGCUGGGCUGACACUGACGCUGAAGUGCGAAAGCUAGGGGAGCGAACGG
rnacentral:rRNA from 1 species